rnacentral:tRNA from 1 species
GCACUCAGUUGCUAGAGCACGAGACUCUUAAUCUCAGAGUCAUGGGUUCGAGCCUCAUGUUAGGCA